GUACACUCCUGCGGGAGGCAGCAGUGGGGAAUUUUGGACAAUGGGCGAAAGCCUGAUCCAGCAAUGCCGCGUGAGUGAAGAAGGCCUUCGGGUUGUAAAGCUCUUUUGUCAGGGAAGAAACGGUGAGAGCUAAUAUCUUUUGCUAAUGACGGUACCUGAAGAAUAAGCACCGGCUAACUACGUGCCAGCAGCCGCGGUAAUACGUAGGGUGCAAGCGUUAAUCGGAAUUACUGGGCGUAAAGCGUGCGCAGGCGGUUUUGUAAGUCUGAUGUGAAAUCCCCGGGCUCAACCUGGGAAUUGCAUUGGAGACUGCAAGGCUAGAAUCUGGCAGAGGGGGGUAGAAUUCCACGUGUAGCAGUGAAAUGCGUAGAUAUGUGGAGGAACACCGAUGGCGAAGGCAGCCCCCUGGGUCAAGAUUGACGCUCAUGCACGAAAGCGUGGGGAGCAAACAGGAUUAGAUACCCCUGUAGUCCCAUG
rnacentral:rRNA from 1 species